rnacentral:rRNA from 1 species
AUUCCAGCUCCAAUAGCGUAUAUUAAAGUUGUUGCGGUUAAAAAGCUCGUAGUUGGAUUUCUGCCGAGGAUGACCGGUCCGCCCUGUGGGUGUGCAUCUGGCUCAGCCUUGGCAUCUUCCUGAAGAACGUAGCUGCACUUGACUGUGUGGUGCGGUAUUUAGGACAUUUACUUUGAGGAAAUUAGAGUGUUUCAAGCAAGCGCACGCUUUGAAUACAUUAGCAUGGAAUAAUAAGAUAGGACCUCGGUUCUAUUUUGUUGGUUUCUAGAGCUGAGGUAAUGAUUGAUAGGGAUAGUUGGGGGUGCUAGUAUUUUGCGGCCAGAGGUGAAAUUCUGUGAUUCGCGAAAGACUAACUUAUGCGAAAGCAUUCACCAAGGAUAUCUUCAUCA